rnacentral:rRNA from 1 species
AUGAACGCUAGCUACAGGCUUAACACAUGCAAGUCGAGGGGCAGCAUUUCAGUUUGCUUGCAAACUGGAGAUGGCGACCGGCGCACGGGUGAGUAACACGUAUCCAACCUGCCGAUAACUCGGGGAUAGCCUUUCGAAAGAAAGAUUAAUACCCGAUGGCAUAAUUAGACCGCAUGGUCUUAUUAUUAAAGAAUUUCGGUUAUCGAUGGGGAUGCGUUCCAUUAGGCAGUUGGUGAGGUAACGGCUCACCAAACCUUCGAUGGAUAGGGGUUCUGAGAGGAAGGUCCCCCACAUUGGAACUGAGACACGGUCCAAACUCCUACGGGAGGCAGCAGUGAGGAAUAUUGGUCAAUGGGCGCAGGCCUGAACCAGCCAAGUAGCGUGAAGGAUGACUGCCCUAUGGGUUGUAAACUUCUUUUAUAUGGGAAUAAAGUUUUCCACGUGUGGAAUUUUGUAUGUACCAUAUGAAUAAGGAUCGGCUAACUCCGUGCCAGCAGCCGCGGUAAUACGGAGGAUCCGAGCGUUAUCCGGAUUUAUUGGGUUUAAAGGGAGCGUAGGUGGACAGUUAAGUCAGUUGUGAAAGUUUGCGGCUCAACCGUAAAAUUGCAGUUGAUACUGGCUGUCUUGAGUACAGUAGAGGUGGGCGGAAUUCGUGGUGUAGCGGUGAAAUGCUUAGAUAUCACGAAGAACUCCGAUUGCGAAGGCAGCUCACUGGACUGCAACUGACACUGAUGCUCGAAAGUGUGGGUAUCAAACAGGAUUAGAUACCCUGGUAGUCCACACAGUAAACGAUGAAUACUCGCUGUUUGCGAUAUACAGUAAGCGGCCAAGCGAAAGCAUUAAGUAUUCCACCUGGGGAGUACGCCGGCAACGGUGAAACUCAAAGGAAUUGACGGGGGCCCGCACAAGCGGAGGAACAUGUGGUUUAAUUCGAUGAUACGCGAGGAACCUUACCCGGGCUUAAAUUGCAGAUGAAUUACGGUGAAAGCCGUAAGCCGCAAGGCAUCUGUGAAGGUGCUGCAUGGUUGUCGUCAGCUCGUGCCGUGAGGUGUCGGCUUAAGUGCUAUAACGAGCGCAACCCUUAUCUUUAGUUACUAACAGGUCAUGCUGAGGACUCUAGAGAGACUGCCGUCGUAAGAUGUGAGGAAGGUGGGGAUGACGUCAAAUCAGCACGGCCCUUACGUCCGGGGCUACACACGUGUUACAAUGGGGGGUACAGAAGGCAGCUACCUGGUGACAGGAUGCUAAUCCCAAAAGCCUCUCUCAGUUCGGAUCGAAGUCUGCAACCCGACUUCGUGAAGCUGGAUUCGCUAGUAAUCGCGCAUCAGCCAUGGCGCGGUGAAUACGUUCCCGGGCCUUGUACACACCGCCCGUCAAGCCAUGAAAGCCGGGGGUACCUGAAGUACGUAACCGCAAGGAGCGUCCUAGGGUAAAACUGGUAAUUGGGGCU